UCACUCUAGCGAGACUGCCGUUGACAAAACGGAGGAAGGUGGGGACGACGUCAAAUCAUCAUGCCCCUUAUGUCCUGGGCUACACACGUAAUACAAUGGCGGUCAACAGAGGGAUGCAAAGCCGUAAGGUGGAGCGAACCCCUAAAAGCCGUCCCAGUUCAGAUCGUGGGCUGCAACCCGCCCACGUGAAGUCGGAAUCGCUAGUAAUCGCGGAUCAGCAUGCCGCGGUGAAUACGUUCCCGGGCCUUGUACACACCGCCCGUCACACCAUGAGAGUCGGGAACACCCGAAGCCCGUAGCCUAACCGAAAGGAGGGCGCGGUCGAAGGUGGGUUCGAUAAUUGGGGUGAAGUCGUAACAAGGUAACCGUAAA
rnacentral:rRNA from 1 species